rnacentral:tRNA from 1 species
GCCGCUGUGGUGGAAUAGGCAGACACAAGGGACUUAAAAUCCCUCGCCGUAAAAAGCGUACCGGUUCGACCCCGGUCAGCGGCACCA